UAUUUUAGCCACUUAAUGACUCAACUUGUAAACAAACAUAUAAAAUGGACGCUUGCAGUGGUUUGGUUGAUUACUGGAUCUGUGCCACAUGAGACUGGCCAAAUAAGCACUGCUGGCUUGAUGCAUACUUGUAGGUACUUGUCUAUGAUUCAUUAUGGAAGUGCAUAUCAAGACUGAUAACUCAACAGCAAUUAGGAAUGAGUACUAAGCUAAUAGGUAGACCUUUUGCCUUCCCAACAAUGUUAAUGUUUAUCAUGGAACUUUUUUCAGUCAUCAAGAAUAAUGUAUGUUGACUGUUUAAACCUACCAAGUUUGAAGCAAGGAUAGUGGAAUUUUAAAUUGUUUUUAUAAUUUCUAGACGGAAUCGAGUCGUGGUGGAGGCUAAUGCGGCAAAUGGGAAUAGGCUACUGGAUUGACUAUUUCAAAGAUCUCGAUGACAAUGGGGUAUUGUCCACUGAAAGUCCAGUUCAUGUUUGAGUAUUUUCUCAACCAUAGCAUAAUGCACAAAGUGUAUAAAUAAUUAUUGACAAAUAUGCAGGGAGUGUCUGAGGUUUUGUUUUACGAAGUUGCUUCAGAAAGAACUUGAUGAAUUGAGAGAACAGUGGAACUUGCAUCGUGUUAGAACUUCGUCAAGUUUUGCUGGAAAGCCAAACCUGCUCUAUCACCACCCAGAACUUUUUGGUGCAAGAGACUACAAAUUUCCAGUAGAGUUUGAGGAUAUUGAUGCUCUAGAAAGAUUCACUGUUAGGACACCACAGUAUGGUUGUCUUGAUGAGUAUGUUGAAGAAUUUCAAAUCCUUCUUGAAAGGAAUGGAAAGGAAAUGUCAGAAACCUGUCAUGAAGCUAUAACCCUUUAUUUAUGGUUAAUACAACAAAUCUGAAAUUGUAAUCUUUGUCCUGCAAGCAUGGCUUGAGUUUGAGGAGGAUAUGUAGCAAAGAUCAAGAGCUAAGUAAAGCAAACUUUAUAGCUCAUGAAAAGAGCAACAACAUUGUCAUACAUUUUAGAUACUAGUAGCAUAAAUACUGGAAAUGUAAUUGCUAGAAAUAUACCAGAUCACUCUUUUUUUCUUUGGAAAAUCAAUGUAAAUGUUGGAUUGCAUUCACAGGCUCACUGCAUGCCAUCGCAAAGUUAUGACAAUUCCAACUUCAGUGAUAUCCCAGGAAAUUUUCUGUCUGACCAAAGUAUAGUUACACAGUUAAAUGACCUAAUAGCUAAACUAGUAACUAGCCUGAGAAUGCAGUCGGACAUAGAUAUUGCAUACAACCAAUGGUGUGAUAUUGUUAAGUCAGAAAUGUAUGAGAAAAUACCUUUUAUAACCAUUUAUAGUAAUAACAUUUUAUCUUGUUCAAAAUAUAGAACGUUUAAACCUUGGUGGAAUGAUAAAUCGUCUGAUCUGUGGCGAAAUGUUCAUACAGCAGAAAGAAAUUGGUUAAAUUGUUCUUCCAAAUCUUUGAAAAAUGAUUUUAAGCAUGUAUAUGUUAAUGUUAAAGAACGAUUUGAUAGAGAGGUACAACGUUCUAUAAGGUUUUAUUGGUAUAAAAUACAAAAUAAUAUUUUAUCUGAUCUACAUUGUGAUAGUAACCAGUUUUGGAAAACAAUGGGCAAAACAGGUAUU
rnacentral:lncRNA from 1 species